AGAGACAGAAAAUACACAAGUAAGCAAGGAAGAAAAAAAUUUCAUGGAGCAUUAAGUGCUUUAAGGAGAAAUUGUAAGGGUGAGAGAUCACUGGAUUAGGAGCUAGAAAAAGAAUAAAGGGGGGCCCUCAGCCCCCUCAAAGAAGAGAUAUUUGAGCCAAGACCUGAAUGGAGCAAGGGAAAGAGCUGGGAAGGAGACAGCCCCGAGCAGAAGGGAUGGUUAGCACCAUGGUGCUGGGACAGAAAUGAGCCCAGGGGUGCUGAAGAGCAGCCAGAAAGGCUGCAGCCGAGCUGGGAUGUGGACGGGAGGGCAGGAGAGGGUGAGAGAUGAGGUCAGCGAUCUGGAUGGGCCAAGGAGUCUGAUUUUAUCCCUAAGAGGAUGAGAAGUCACUGGAAGACUUUUAAUGGAGGAAGGGAUGGAGAGCUCACCCUGACUGUGUGUGAAAACUCAAUGAUGAGAGGACAAGAGUGGGACCUGGGAGAGGAGAUUGAUGUAGACGAGACUGGCCAUCUUGGAGCCAUGUAGUGAAGAUGGUGGAACUUCUAGAUGGAAAGAUCCUAGAACUUUCUAUCACUACUUGGAGGAAAAUAGCCUACCAAUCAAGAAAACACAUUUACACUUUUUGUGAACAACAAAUAAGCUUCUACCAUGUAGGAGCCGUUAUAUGUUUUGUGAUCUGUUUACUACAUCAGCUAGUAUAAUGACCUGGGUUAGAAACAACUUGUUCUGGCCCAAGAAACACUGUCCAACACUCAGAUUCUUAGCAUGGGACUAAAGUUUGAAGUAGAAGGAAGAAGCUCAGAGACCAUAAACCAUGCCCUUCUUUAUCUAAGCGAGGAAAAAGAGAUCCAGAGAAGGACAAAUCUGGCACUAUCUAAGGUCAUGGAGACCCAAAGUUCUCUGCAGGACUAGAGCACUCAUUUUCAGGCUUCUCGUCCAAUUCUAUUUUCAGGACAUAACAUUGCCAUUUUACUGACCGAUGGCAAGUACAGUGUCCAAGACAGGCCUUAGAAAAGGACUCAGACAGAGCUCACUGUGAGAAGCAUAUUCUGUAAUCAUAACCCGAAUCUCCCUAUUAACAAUUUACAUUGACUGAUUUGUGUUCUGUCCUGAGAACUUGAAGAGUGUCUGAUCACCUGUCUUCCUAUAGUAACCUUCUUGACACUUAAGGGAACAGCUGAGGAGAUGGGGACGGAGAGUCCUAAUGUCACCCUCUAAGAGCUGACCACCCUCCCCUGUGUUAGCCAUGUCUCUCUGUACACCCCAUCCCCAGCCCGACCCUAUAUCCUGCCACUGUGAAUUUCAGGUGUAAUGGGAAGACAAAUGAAGAGACAGGACAAAGACAGGAACUGUUUCUGCUACCUAAAGCCCUCCCUCAAUGUUGCCCACUCUUCAACCCAAGAGAAGAAGGAGGAAGUUCCAGGAAUGCUGAGAGAAUCCCCCCAACUUCCCACUGAUAUCUGAAAUGCUGUGCAUGUCCCAUAGAACACGUUUUGUGGAAUCUUGCUCUAACUCUUGAGGAAGAAUGGAUGAGUUUAAUGCUUCACCUUCCUCUUGGAUGUGAAGAGAGGAUAGGGCCAGUGAGGACACCAGACCUCUUAUCCAUCCACAGCACCCCUGGAACGAACACCGCUCACCAGCCUUGCAAAUGGCUGUCCUCCUCUUCCCUGGACACAUGCAAUCUCUGCAAAGAGCAAAGGAUCCCCAAUUGCCUGUUCUAGCCUAUGACCCCCUCAUCAGUCUGGGCCCUAAGAAACCCAACAUGAGUCUUCAAUAGAUGCAGUUAAGACAAAAAGAUCCAAGAGGACUCCACCCAAAGGGGAAGAAAUUGAAUGUCCAAGUAUGAUACAUUCUCUUUAGUCCCAUUGCCCAAUUUUGAUUAGACACACCCUGGCCUCCAAACUCAUGCAUAAGGGUUUUAACCUAGUCACACCCAGGUGGGAGGCCCUUGAGGACCUGCGGAAACCACGGACUUGGACGUGGAGUCAAAUUCUUUGUGAUUCAUCUGGAUCCCACACUUCAGCCUUUCAAUUCUCUCUACUUUUUAUUUCUCUGUUUCACCUAUGGAAUUUAUCUCUCCACCUAGAACAUAAAUUCCAGGAGGCUUGAGGUCAUAUCUUAUCCUUCCUUUGUUUUUCCCUACAGCAUCUAGUUCUUAAUAAUAGGUACAGAGGUACUGCUUUAAUAAACAGUACUAAACUGUACUUAACAGACUCAUACCUGCUUUUUACCCACCCUUAGAAAGAAGGGAGGUAAAAUAGGAAAGCUCUCUUAACCCAUCUCCUCUGAAUGACUCACAGACUCAACUAAUAUACUCCAUUUCCACGGAGAAGUAAACCAGACAAGCCCACAGCACACUGGUUUCUCACAGCCCCCGGGCCACUCUCUCAUGCCCUAAUGCACUUCUGUUCUCACUUAUUGAGUUGUUUGCUUAUCAGGAGUCAGUUGUAUUCCCAAAUCUGUCCAUGCCAGUUGUGUUACUAUAGUUAUG